UUUACUCUAACACAAGUAUACCAUAAGUAAAUAGCUUGUCAAAGUAAAUAAAACUAGUAUAAUCAAGUUUCAAAAAUCAAUAUUUUCACUCUAAUUUCUUUUCAAAGGCUCCUAUGUACUACACAGUGUAGAUCAAUUGAAUCUGUCUUGGUCAUACAUUUAUUAUACUUACCCACUCUCAAAGUGCUAUUCACCUGAAUCGUGGCGGGAUUUAUUUUUACAGAUAUAAAAGCUUGUAGUUUUAUUUCCGAUUUUCUAUUUAUCGUUGCAUGUCUGUAGGUACAUUAAAGGGAUUAUGUAUGCUUUAUCAGGGUUUUAGUUUCAGAGCUAUUUUGCUUUUUAGCGUAUAGCAAAUACAAAGUUUUGCGGUUACUUGUGAAGUUGUCAGAUUGAGCCGAAACAGGGUAUUUUUAUGCGGGUGUUUUGUAAUUGGAGACGUAUUUAAUUGUUUUUGUCAAUAAAACCGUUAUUGACAGCUAUCUAUUUUUAUGGAUCAGGGAUUUGCUAUUGACAUUAUCUCGAGUUUAAAACAAUUUGAACUAAAGAAAGACGCUUUUUUAAGGUAUAAUAAAAUAAAAGCAUUCCUUAAUUGUCAGGCUAGGAUAAUAUGUUCAACAGGUCGACUCUGACGUUACUGGAGGAAAUAUAAUUUGUUUAAAAUGGUGACAGUCAGUUGUUUACAAGCAGGGCACACAAAGAACUUUACCAAGAGAUCUGGCUGACAUUUUGUGUGUUUUGGAUUACUAUCAAGUGACAGGAUAUCUGUGUUUACAUAUUUACCUCAUAGGAACCUAUUCAAUAGCUAUUUAAUACUUGAUUAGAGAUUUUUUUUAUUUUUGGAUAAAUGAUAAAAAAUUCUACCUGAUAACAAAAAUGAUUUUUGAAAAGUACUUUGAUAUAACCUGAGGAUUUGUGUAAUGACAGAAAGGAAAUCAAAUGAUUUGCUAGUAUUACUAUGGCAACAAAAGAUUAUGGGAUAUGGUGCUUCCUGUUGUUGUUGUUCUUGAUUCACGUCAAAGAAAUACAGAGCCGCUGUUUGACAAAUAAACCUCCUGUCCAGUACAAGAGGCAUUUGUUUUACCAUGGUAAGAGUAUACCAAUAGUCCUGGAGACCUCAAAGAGGGCCUCGCAUAAUAUUUCAAACCAUAUCCUCAAAAUUCUCCUCGAAGAAGUGGUGGGGUAUGAAAAAGUUGAGAUUCGGACAAAGGACUCGAUGAAUGCAACAAAGAUCAUGAACAGAAUCUCCGGCUGUCCGGAAACUGGGUAAGUUUUAACCUAGAAUGACAACAAUGAAAA